UACGAAGGGGGCUAGCGUUGCUCGGAAUGACUGGGCGUAAAGGGCGCGUAGGCGGUAUGGCACAGUCAGAUGUGAAAUUCCCGGGCUUAACCUGGGGGCUGCAUUUGAUACGUGUUGUCUAGAGUGAGGAAGAGGGUCGUGGAAUUCCCAGUGUAGAGGUGAAAUUCGUAGAUAUUGGGAGGAACACCGGUGGCGAAGGCGGCAUCCUGGACCGGUAUUGGACGCUGAGGCGCGAAAGCCAGGGGAGCAAAGCGGG
rnacentral:rRNA from 1 species